rnacentral:rRNA from 1 species
UCCUACGGGGGGCAGCAGUGAGGAAUAUUGGUCAAUGGGCGGGAGCCUGAACCAGCCAAGUCGCGUGAGGGAAGACGGUCCUAUGGAUUGUAAACCUCUUUAGGCGGGGAGCAAUGCCGGGCACGCGUGCCCGGAGGGAGAGUACCCGCAGAAUAAGCAUCAGCUAACUCCGUGCCAGCAGCCGCGGUAAUACGGAGGAUGCGAGCGUUAUCCGGAUUUAUUGGGUUUAAAGGGUGCGUAGGCGGGUUAUCAAGUCAGCGGUAAAAUCGUGGAGCUCAACUCCAUCCAGCCGUUGAAACUGAUGA